rnacentral:misc_RNA from 1 species
UUUUCCUGUCAGAGUUUGAUCCUCUGUACUUGGGUUUUUCUACUAUUUCCAGUCAAAUGGUAGAUUUGGGUCUUCCUCUUUUCUACUUGGCUUCCUGGAGUUAGUUUUACUCUUUGCAAAGCUAGGUUACAUCGAACUUGGUAUAAACCCAUUUUGGUUUUCAUUUGGGAUUAACAAUUAAGAGCAAAUCUAUAAAGUUAUACGGUGGAAGCGGAG